UUUGGAACUCAGGAGCAAACCGUUUAUGAUUAGCAAAUUCAUUAUGCUAUCCUUGGUACCUUAAGGGGACACUGUGGGCUUUCCUCCCCUGUUGUUAUUUUAAGGACAUAUGACAGGGAAGGAAGAGCCCUCCCUUUUCCAGCUGCCUCAAAGUAUUGUUUGCUGGAAAGUUUGCCGGAAUCUAGAUAGAAUCUUUCAAAAGAAAAUAAACAAGCAAAAAAUCCCUGCAGUCAUGAACUGUAGCCACAGCUGGAACUAUUGGAACAUUCCAGGAGAUGAAAACAAAGAUUCCCUCCUCCUUCCCUUCCAUCUUACUGAGAUCUACCAGGCUGAUUAAGCCACAGCAGAUCAGCAGAAUUCAACUGUCCAGAUAGAAAGGUGGACAUGGAAAAAUUGGGCUUUGCAAAUGGUCACCCAAUUCUUGCCUUCCUGGUCUCCAGAUCACCCUUCCUAUACCGCCACUCUGGAGAAAGAAGUACAGAACGCUAACAAGAAAGGGCUCUGAAAAACAAGUUGCAAAUCAUUAGGCCAGAUGGUGUAAGGUCUGUCUUCAACAAAAGUUUUGAUUCUCUGAGUGAAAGACAUGCUCUUGACAAUGGACAGUGGGAUGAAGUGGUCUCAGAGGAGGUGGCCAUAUACCAGGGGGAGCUUCUUGGAAGAAGUGAGUUGGAAAGUUAAAAUCUGGGUGUUUCUAGCAGUUGGUGAACCUGGAAGAGAAGUUGUAAUUCCCAAAGAGAGGAUGGCUUGGAGUUGCAGUGGUCACCUCAGAUCUUAAGGUCACUUUGGAGAUGGAACCCCUGUGACUAGGAAUGGCAGAACAGAAAGGUAGAAAGAGAUUGAGUCCUGGGGAUGUGGCAGAGCCACCAUCCUAGCCCCGUACUGCGUACUUCUGGACUUCCUUUAAAACUACCUCAAGGCCUCUUUCAUCAAGGAGAGGCCCAUAUGAUUAGUUUUCACCAGUGAGCUAGAUACAGAGGACCUAACAUACAACUCAGAGUCCCUAGAAGAUGGAGAAAACACAGACAAUUGGCAGAGGAGAUGAGCAUGUGAUUAUUGUUACCACUUGUCUGGAAGCAACCAGAAUGGAGUGGGGAAGACUCAAGGAGGAGAUCUUCACAGGACUCACCUCUCAUCACAGCUCCCGUGUGGUUGUAAUCACCCCAGAGGGAAAAAUAAUUUCGGUUUUUUAUGGUUUAAUUAUUGGUGAUAGCAGCUGUUUUGAAGACACAAACACAGAAGCAAGUUCUAGAACAUACUCACAGUUUCCUUGGUCACAGUGUUGUCAGUGGUUCUAUAAAGGUCUUAUGAAUCUCUACUUAGUUGACCACAAGUAGUAAGCAAGAAACAAUCCUGUAAAGAGAAUGGAGGUCAGAAUAAAGAAGCCUUGAGGGUUUAAAUCGCUUCUUGAAAAGAAAUGCCCGUGUGUCAAGGAGCUAAGGGAGACCAGCCCAGGAGGAGCUGAAUCCUGCCAACAAUCACUUGAGUGAACUUGAGAGUGAAUCCUCUCCAUGUUAAGCCUUGAGGUGAUUGUAGCUCCAUCAAAUACCUUCAUUGUAGCCUUGUGAGAGAUCUGAGUCAGAGGAUGGAGUUAAGCCAAGCCCAGAUUCCAGACCCUCAGAAACCAUGGAGUGGAGUUAAAAAUAAAUACAUGAAUGAAGAUGCUGCAAGCCAGUGAGAUAUGCACCCAGAGAAGGCAACCCAAACAUGGUAGUGCACUGAAUUGUUUUGUAUGUGUCUGUUUCUCCUCUCCUCUCUGGCUUCACAUCUUCACUUUGGAAAAGUGAAAGCGGAAUACCUGGUUAUCCGGAGGUCACUGUCUCCACACAGAGUGGUGUCCUUGAUGCUAGCUUGGGGCAAAGAAGCCAAACCCAGACUACCCAACUUCUCAUCUCUAUGGUCUUGGGGCCAGCUUGUGGUUGCAAUAGGAAUAGAAGAGACUUCCUUACUCCAAUCCCACCCUACCCCCUCAUCCUGCCUCAACCAGUCAUGCAGAGAGAUGCUGAAUGGCUGCCUGCUCUCAGGGGAAUGAUUUGUGGAGGCAAUCAAGGCUUUAAAUGCGUGGAUUUAUCAUCACCUCAAAUCGCCUGUCACUGUGAUGGAACAAAAAUAGAAAGUUGGGCUAAUAUCUUCCUGCUAGCAUGUUUCCAUCUGUGAGUUUGAUCAAAGCAACUUUAUCUGCGAAAUUUUGAAGAAUCAGCUUCAUCUCCACUUGGCAGCAUGUGGUAAAUGAAGGUAUUUCUGGAAAUCCCAUCUUCCCAGAAUUCAGCUAGGAUCCAGAAGUGAUGCUGUUACGUGACGUCUUCAACCUCCCUCCCUCUGCCCAUCUCAGGGACCUCUCCAGAAGCCAGUCCCAAGAGUGGCAUUGGUUAGCAUAUCUCAAAUACAGUGGGAGAAGCCUCUUAGCUCAGCUCCAGUUAUUUCUCUAUUGUAGAAAACCAAGAGAGAGAUGAAUAAGGAAUGAAAACAUACUCCACAUGGACUCAAUAAAUCUUGGGUGAAAUGAUGCUGUCUGACAAGGUAAAUAAAAAAUGCAGCACUCAAGCACCAGCACUGGGGAUGAGAUGAGGACACACCAAUUACCAGCACUUCUGCC
rnacentral:lncRNA from 1 species